GAAUAUUGGACAAUGGGGGCAACCCUGAUCCAGCCAUGCCGCGUGUGUGAAGAAGGCCUUUUGGUUGUAAAGCCCUUUAUGCAGUGAAGAAGACUCCAUGGUUAAUACCCAUGGACGAUGACAUUAGCUGCAGAAUAAGCACCGGCUAACUAUGUGCCAGGAGCCGCGGUAAUACAGAGGGUGCAAGGGUUAAUCGGAAUUACUUGGCGUAAAGCGAGCGUAGGUGGCUUGAUAAGUCAGAUGUGAAAUCCCCGGGCUUAACCUGGGAACUGCAUCUGAUACUGUUAGGCUAGAAUAGGUGAGAGGAAGGUAGAAUUCCAGGUGUAGCGGUGAAAUGCGUAGAGAUCUGGAGGAAUACCGAUGGCGAAGGCAGCCUUCUGGCAUCAUAUUGACACUGAGGCUCGAAAGCGUGGGGAGCAAACAGG
rnacentral:rRNA from 1 species